rnacentral:rRNA from 1 species
AAAUUGAAGAGUUUGAUCAUGGCUCAGAUUGAACGCUGGCGGCAGGCCUAACACAUGCAAGUCGAACGGUAACAGAAAGCAGCUUGCUGCUUUGCUGACGAGUGGCGGACGGGUGAGUAAUGUCUGGGAAACUGCCUGAUGGAGGGGGAUAACUACUGGAAACGGUAGCUAAUACCGCAUAACGUCGCAAGACCAAAGAGGGGGACCUUAGGGCCUCUUGCCAUCGGAUGUGCCCAGAUGGGAUUAGC